rnacentral:rRNA from 1 species
GAUCCUGGCUCAGAUUGAACGCUGGCGGCAGGCUUAACACAUGCAAGUCGAACGGUAACAUAAAGAAGCUUGCUUCUUUGAUGACGAGUGGCGGACGGGUGAGUAAUGCUUGGGAAUCUAGCUUAUGGAGGGGGAUAACUACGGGAAACUGUAGCUAAUACCGCGUAAUAUCGAAAGAUUAAAGUGUGGGACCUUCGGGCCACAUGCCAUAGGAUGAGCCCAAGUGGGAUUAGGUAGUUGGUGAGUAAGGG